UUGCUCUGAGUGAUGACUUCAUAGUUCAACUGAAAUCAAUGUUGAUAUACCCUAGUCUUUCGCUCCUAUCUGACAGAGCAA